rnacentral:rRNA from 1 species
UGAACGCUGGCGGCGUGCUUAACACAUGCAAGUCGAACGGGAAACCUUUUAUUGAAGCUUCGGCAGAUUUAGCUGGUUUCUAGUGGCGGACGGGUGAGUAACGCGUUGGUAACCUGCCCUAUACAGGGGGAUAACAACCAGAAAUGGUUGCUAAUACCGCAUAAGCGCACAGGGCCGCAUGGUCCGGUGUGAAAAACUCCGGUGGUAUAGGAUGGACCCGCGUUGGAUUAGCCAGUUGGCAGGGUAACGGCCUACCAAAGCGACGAUCCAUAGCCGGCCUGAGAGGGUGAACGGCCACAUUGGGACUGAGACACGGCCCAGACUCCUACGGGAGGCAGCAGUGGGGAAUAUUGCACAAUGGGGGAAACCCUGAUGCAGCGACGCCGCGUGAAGGAAGAAGUAUCUCGGUAUGUAAACUUCUAUCAGCAGGGAAGAUAGUGACGGUACCUGACUAAGAAGCCCCGGCUAACUACGUG